GCAGAGAGAAUUACAGACUAAGCAGGAAAACACUGAAGAAGCAAGUGGGCAAAUUUAAGUCCCCAUGCUAUAUCUAGCAGGACACUUCUUGGAGUUUGAAAGAAGGUUGUAUUCGGCACCCAUGACAAGAGGACCUUCACUGACAUUUAGCAAUAGGCACCUGACCAGAUCCACUCAAAGAAGGAAGUAGAUUCACCUUGAACCUGGGCUGUUUGUUCAGACCUCCUCUGAGUCCUCAGAUGAAGCAACCAGCUGACGAAUGUCUUGAUAAGGCAGGAACUGAGAUUUGAAGCUACAUGUCACCCCGAUACUCUGGGGAAGUGGGGAGGGGAUGUACAGCAGGUGGCAACUGAGGUUGGCCUGGAGGUUCCUGCCCUGGGAGCAGCUCAGGGUCCUCCCUGGUUUGUGACCCAGCCUGGCUGAGGCAAGAAUCAUGCCCAGAGAGCCUGCCUCCCCAGCUCAAAUGUGAGUACCUCAAAAUCAGGGCCCUAUCUGCCUGCUCUCUGGAUCUGCCACCUCCCAGUGUGGGGUACAGUCUAUGUUUAAAGGAAGCAACAAACACUACAAUUUCCCCCCUUUCUUCAUGGAGCCCUCCUAUGUGAAAUGACACCUUUGAUGGCACAGAGCUUGUCACAGUCAAUAAAGCUUUCCUCAUCUAUUAUCUGGAGACCACCUGCCACCCAGGAUUCUCUGCUCCUCCCCACUGAUGGCACCCUAAGUGGUCACCUAGUCUGACCACGUCUUCCUUUACGGUUGGACUUCCCUGCUCCUUCCGCUCCUUCCCCACGGCCACCAUCUAGACUCAGUUCUCUGUCCCUUCUGUCCAUGACGCCUGUGGACCCGCUCUCCUCACUUCCCUUCUUGCCUUGCCCUAAGCCCAGUUUCCAGCCAAGAACCAGAGAGAUUUCUCUUCAACAGAACUCCGCUUGUCUCUCUCCUCCCUGCCUCGAGGACAAAGUCUGCCCCUACACUGGGCCUGAGCCCCCACAACACCACCUUUAUUUCCCCAGUCCCACUGCCCCUCCCCGCUCCUGCCUGGCCAGGAGUGACCUGCGACGCCACGGGCCCACAUUACCUGGCAGGGGAAAUAAGGACCUGAAGGCACAUUUCAUCCCUCCGUUGACAUCAUCGCCUUGCCCGUACCAGCACGUCUGUCCCUCCUGGUGAUGUCACCAGCCUGGGCGGCUCCCACCAGGGCUCCAAGGCAAGGGGUGGCGUGAAGAGUACCAGACACCUGGUUUCACUUCAGAGAGAUGAUUCCAGCAUGGAGGAAGGCGAAGCAAGACUUGGCACAAGGCACAGCGGGGACUGUCCUCAGGCCCCUUGUUUUUGAGCUGCCGCAGAGUCCCCAGAGCCUCCGGAGUAAGAGAUGAACAUGCAGACUUGGAGGGACCAUGUCGCUCUUCGCUGACAUAGCACUUGUUAAAUAAAAUAAACCAACCUGGUGCUUUCUUCAGGCCAGAC